GACGAACGCUGGCGGCGUGCCUAAUACAUGCAAGUCGAGCGGACCAAAGGGAGCUUGCUCCUGGAGGUUAGCGGCGAACGGGUGAGUAACACGUGGGCAACCUGCCUGUAAGACUGGGAUAACAUCGAGAAAUCGGUGCUAAUACCGGAUAAUAAAAAGAACUGCAUGGUUCUUUUUUGAAAGAUGGUUUCGGCUAUCACUUACAGAUGGGCCCGCGGCGCAUUAGCUAGCUGGUGAGGUAACGGCUCACCAAGGCAACGAUGCGUAGCCGACCUGAGAGGGUGAUCGGCCACACUGGGACUGAGACACGGCCCAGACUCCUACGGGAGGCAGCAGUAGGGAAUCUUCCGCAAUGGACGAAAGUCUGACGGAGCAACGCCGCGUGAGUGAUGAAGGUUUUCGGAUCGUAAAACUCUGUUGUUAGGGAAGAACAAGUGCCGUUCGAAAGGGCGGCACCUUGACGGUACCUAACGAGAAAGCCACGGCUAACUACGUGCCAG
rnacentral:rRNA from 1 species